AAGGCAUCAGAUGACCGUACGGGUGCUCCCGAUGGCGGCAUGGGACAGAAUCGAUGCGCCUCCUGUGGCGUUGGCUUAACCGCAAAUCGGGAGAAGACGGGCCCCAAGAGAAGCACUCCUUCCACGUUUCCCUGGUCUUUCUACCGACACCGCAUUGCAGCUUAUCGACCCUGGGCCACGACAAGGGACAGCCGCGAGCAAGUACAACGCGAGCACCCUGUGCCUGCAACGGCUGCACAAACGACUUGGUCUGCAGCGCCACACCGUCGGCAGCGGCGAAGUGCAGCGUCACGCCAUGUACCUCCAGGCCUUCAGCUUGCGGCUGGCCUACGAGCGUCUGCUUGCGAGCUUCGGACCAGAGGCCUUGACCGACGAGUCCCGCGUGCUGUGGCUCGAGGCGCAGAAGACGUUCUUCAUCCGCUUCUGUCUCCUGUCUUGUGACACCGACCAGAAGCCCAAUCCGCUGUCCCCUCGAGCUGGUUGCCUUUUGCCGCUGCACGCCAUGCCGGAGUUCGCCGCGGUGUUCGGUUGCACAUGGCGAGAGGACUUUGUCAGCGAUAAUUGUCCCCUUUAAUUAACUCUGAAACGCGAAUGAUUCGUACACAAACAAGAAAAAAUGUGCUGUUAAAGUGCCGUUAAGAUGCUGCGUGAACAGUUGUAUUUUCAUUGCCCAUUCAGAAACUUUGGAAGGAACGUGGAGGCGUUCCAACCGCUGUUGGACGUUCCGUAUGCACGCAUUUUUCACCGGUUAUAUGCCUUUGUGGCGUCAAGUCCACGUAUUACCUCGACAUUUGGUCUGAAUUUACGAUUUUGUGCCUUGCUAGUUUCAUGGUAUUUUUCGUACUUACCUCUGCAGCUUUAAGUUGUCCGGGUUUUCAGAAAGCUGCUAACGCUAACGUAUAUUCGAUCUUUUCCCUGGAAAUUUCGCUUCGUUGUUCAAGUAUUUGUGGCCACGCAGUCACGUGUACCUCGUAUGAGUGCGACAUUUAUUUGCAUGAGCUCUGAUUACUUAUUAUGUGAAUGUUUCUUUGUCGUGGCGCUCGACAUGGAGUCGACGUUAGCAUCGAAAAUGUUUAUUUGUUCUUUUAUUUCUUCCUUCUCCGUGGUUGGAAUGAUGGUGAUGGAGCUUGUUGUUGUAAAGCCCGUGCUCACCGUGUUAGCCGUGGUACUUGCAGGGUCAGGGUUCUCAUAUACUAAAUUUCACAUGUGCAGCCAAAUUUGCAAUGUUUAGUUACCUUAGCUGUUCCAGUGGAUGUAUUACGGCAUUCGAACGAACAGGAGGGCUAUGGCUGUAUAUAGUUCAUGAUUGCAUUACUGCCUAAAAAUUUCUUCCUUCAGAAUGCACACAAUGCGAAACGCGCAAUAACAGAAGCUUUCAGCGAAGGGGUAAUUCCAAUGUCACAAUUUAGAAACCUGGAAAAUGCAGCAAUGUACCACGAGACAACCGCCAGACUCUCUUCAAUUCAAUUUGCUGCAUUUCACAGACAAAA
rnacentral:misc_RNA from 1 species